GGCAAGAGUCUCCUAUGAGACCCUCCUUCCUACCUUGGGGACUGGCCGCCUUAAGCAGGGCUGCACAGGAGGAAAUCUGUCUCCUCCCCGCUCUGCUGAAACACUAAAUGAAGAACUUUUUAAUUGUUACUGAGUAUCUGAGUCAUUGAAUUCCUCAGUUUUCUGGAACUGUGAUCACACAAGGCUUCGCUUUAGAACACGGAUACUCUACAUAGUAAGAAGCUACAGUUGAACUGCACAUGCCACCCUCAUUACCACUCUCAUCAAAUGCUGUAGCUUCAACUUCCUCCUUCAAUCCAGUUUAAAGACUGGGACAUGGAAAAUAAGAAAGUGUUCGGACAUUUUCAGAAUGGAAUAACGCGUGUGAAGGGCGGGGUCCUGAUGCAGUGGCCACAGGCACACCUGAAGGUGUAGAUUUUCUUUUUGGGACAAAGACUCCCUAUUGUCCUUCAAAAAAAAAAAUCUUAUCAUAUUUUAAUUAUAUCACCCAGGAAAAUAGACUGUCCUGGAAAACAAAAGUCACCAGCCUCUGCUAAAGCUGGAGUCUUUAGGGGUAAAAUCAGGGGCACAGGUCAAACAUAGUUUUCGGUGACCUAUGUCUGCAAGGCAGUCAGAAGCAAUAAACUGUGCAGGGUUGAUUAAGCUUGAUGAUAUCAAUGUACUCUAUUGAGUAUUGAAAUAUUGAAAUAUUUGUGAUGUUAUCUAUUUAUUUGUAUUGUUCCAUGGGUAUGUAUCUCCUAUUUGCUUUCAUCAGAGAUUCAGAGGACAGUCCUCAAAAUGAAAAGAUUCUUGUAGUUGUUUUCUGAAACAUCCAAGAAGUACCUGGAAAGACAAAGGGAACAAAUAACUACUACUAUUAAUCAUUGGACGCUGAUAAUGUGCUAAAGGUGAUAUCUUAUUCACAACUGCACCAUGUAAGUGAUCAUCCAACAUUCUUCAGUGUUGUACUCAAGGCUCAGAGAGGGUAAGAAACUUGCCAGAGUCAUCCAGCAAGCAAGGAUCAAAUCUGGGAUUCAAAACAGGCCCCGAAGCCUCCAGAGCCUAGAGUGGGAGCUGGCACUGACAUGAGGACGGGAGAGUGGAAAAAGAAUCCUAGGAUUCCUGCAACGAAGCAGGUCUGGUCCCGACAAGGGGCCCCAGGCCUCACAGGGGGACUUGCCCAGUGAACACAGGGUGCCGGGAACUCCGUACCUCCCUCCUGCAGCCCGCAAUUUUCCAUCACCAUUGGAGAGCUGUUUGAAAUACUACAGCUCCAAUCCCCAUGACCCUCUUGAAAUUCCUCCACCAUCCCUGAGGCCUCCCAGUCCCAGUGUGGGAAAUUCUGCUUUAGAGGGAUGUUAUGAAUAUUAAGGAACAAGUGAUUAUUAACCUUUUGGCAAACAUACAGUCCUAUAGAAAUGUUAACCGUAUGUUCCCAUUUAACUUCAUUUAUAGCACUUGGACGACACUAAGACAUUUGCCUCUUGUUUAGGACUUAUACUAGUCAGAAUUUGCAAAGAAAUCAUUAGGCACUUCCUACAUAAGGCAUAAGAGACGCUGUCUACAUCUUCGUGCCUUCUGAUCCAGAGGGUUUGGUUUGGUUUGGUUUUUGCUUUGAAUAAUACCCUGUAGUUGACUGAGUCUGUUACAAAUAAUCUCUUAAUUAUGUGACUUACUCCACUCAAAAGACUUCAGCAAUUCACCAUUCCUCUGAGACCAUUUACAGGUUAUUAAAAAAUCUAAGUUCCGUAUAGUUGGCCUUCAACUUGGAUGUUAAGCUUGACAUGAUUCCUUUCCACGUGUUUUCAUUUUCUUCUGCGACAGCACCUCCUGCCCCCCAGAAUAGUGCAUUUAUCUCCCAAAUUCAAUCAUCUAUAUUAACUGGGGACCUGCUAUCUGGAUAAGUGAUAUCCACAAGUGUUCCAAGAAACUUUAAUAUUAAUAACUUUAUCGCAAUCAAUAGUUCCAAAUUCAUCAGACAGGAUUUCACUAGAGUUGCCAAAAAGGAAUACAAUUUAACUGCUCUGAGAGCCUUCACCCUGUUCUCAUCCCGUGUUUCCAUGGAAGAUGCAAAGAACAGAGACACACGAGAAAGGUGGACAGGCAGAGUCAAGAAUGAAACGGAAUGAGGUCUCUGUCAACAAGCUGGAUAAUGUCCAUUUCCCUGAGCUUGAGUCUGUUCCUCUCUGUUCCUCCUUCUGUUUUUUCUCUCUCCUCACUGGAGUGCUAAUGAAUACCUUCCACUGCUCUGGAAUGCCAUUAUGUUGUGAUUGUCCUCCCUUGCGAGGUCUUUGCAGAGGCCACGAUGAGACCGGUCUCAUCCACGGCUUUGUGUCCUCCUCCCUGAUACAGUCCCCAAAGGCCCUCUCCACUCAGGGCUCAAGUUCCACUCACUGGGUGGGUCAUACCCCCAGCCCUGUAAAAUGUUUCUGAAGGAUUGGGGCUCUGACAUACCUCACCCAAAUCUUUUGCAUCUUUAAUAAACGAAGUUAGUACCAAGAUAUCUUAAAGCAAUCAAGUCUUCAUUUACACCCUUUAAAUAUCUGUAGACAGUUAUCAUGGCCCUCUGUCAAGCAACACGAUGACCCGGU
rnacentral:lncRNA from 10 species